rnacentral:rRNA from 1 species
AGUUGUGCGGGUUUAGACCCGCAGCGGAAGCUCAGUAACACGUGGCCAAGCUACCCUGUGGACGGGAAUACUCUCGGGAAACUGAGGCUAAUCCCCGAUAACGCUUUGCUCCUGGAAGGGGCAAAGCCGGGAAACGCUCCGGCGCCACAGGAUGCGGCUGCGGUCGAUUAGGUAGACGGUGGGGUAACGGCCCACCGUGCCCAUAAUCGGUACGGGUUGUGAGAGCAAGAGCCCGGAGACGGAAUCUGAGACAAGAUUCCGGGCCCUACGGGGCGCAGCAGGCGCGAAACCUUUACACUGUACGAAAGUGCGAUAAGGGGACUCCGAGUGUGAAGGCAUAGAGCCUUCACUUUUGUACACCGUAAGGUGGUGCACGAAUAAGGACUGGGCAAGACCGGUGCCAGCCGCCGCGGUAAUACCGGCAGUCCGAGUGAUGGCCGAUCUUAUUGGGCCUAAAGCGUCCGUAGCUGGCUGAACAAGUCCGUUGGGAAAUCUGUCCGCUUAACGGGCAGGCGUCCAGCGGAAACUGUUCAGCUUGGGACCGGAAGACCUGAGGGGUACGUCUGGGGUAGGAGUGAAAUCCUGUAAUCCUGGACGGACCGCCGGUGGCGAAAGCGCCUCAGGAGAACGGAUCCGACAGUGAGGGACGAAAGCUAGGGUCUCGAACCGGAUUAGAUACCCGGGUAGUCCUAGCUGUAAACGAUGUCCGCUAGGUGUGGCGCAGGCUACGAGCCUGCGCUGUGCCGUAGGGAAGCCGAGAAGCGGACCGCCUGGGAAGUACGUCUGCAAGGAUGAAACUAAAGGA